rnacentral:rRNA from 1 species
CCAAUAGCGUAUAUUAAAGUUGUUGCAGUUAAAAAGCUCGUAGUUGAAUUUCGGGAUCAAGGAAUCGGUCAUGCCUCGGUAUGUACUGGUUUUAUUGGUUCUCACCUUCUAAAGAACCAUAAUGUCAUUUAUUUGAUGUUAUGGGGAAUUAGGACUGUUACCUUGAAAAAAUUAGAGUGUUUAAAGCAAGCUUACGCUUGAAUACAUUAGCAUGGAAUAAUGAAAUAGGACAUCCGAUUCUAUUUUGUUGGUUUCUAGGAUCGAUGUAAUGAUUAAUAGGGAUAGUUGGGGGCAUUAGUAUUCAAUUGUCAGAGGUGAAAUUCUUGGAUUUAUUGAAGACUAACUACUGCGAAAGCAUUUGCCAAGGAUGUUUUCAUUAAUCAAGAACGAAAGUUAGGGGAUCGAAGACGAUCAGAUACCGUCGUAGUCUUAACCAUAAACUAUGCCGACUAGGGAUCGGAUGAUGUUUAUUUUUUAGUGACUCAUUCGGCACCUUACG